CUUAAGUCAUACAUAGACCCUUAAAGUUGUCCUCAUAUUUCAUUUAGCCACUCCAAUUUAACCUUUUACCUAUUGAACACCUAUACUACAAUAAACUUGUACCUAUUAAACAUUUAUACUACAAUAAACUUGUACCUAUUAAACAUUUUUUGCUGACAUGGCAGCAUGUGUGUAAUACACACACCAAAAGAGCGUGGAAGACAUCAUUUACUUUUAAAACAAAGAUUUUUUAGAAAAAAAUUAAAGUAACAUCUCCUCUUCUUCUUUGACUCAACUCAACCACCAUUGCCACCAACUUUCCGCCAUCGCCAUUCUUUCUCCGGUCAUCUUCUUCCCCUUUUAUUUUUCAAGCCAUCGUUUUCUUCCCCUUCUUUCACCACCCACCACUGACACCACCAAUAUCUAAAUUUAUUAUCGUCAAAAAUAGAAUCAAAUUGCAUCAAAAAUAAUUUUGAAGGAACUCCAUUUUUUCCGACGAAUCUGAAAUUAUUUUCUUCGAAAUCGUUAAAAAAUUUAAAUCCUAAAGAACUCACAACAUAGAAGAAAAAAAGUAUCGACAAAUCUAAAUUAAUGUUUAAGAAAGUAGUGAGAUUGGGAGAAAUAUCAUUUACAAUGUUGA
rnacentral:lncRNA from 1 species